rnacentral:rRNA from 1 species
UCGGCUAGGAUGCUGGCGUAAUGGUUGUCAGCGACCCGUCUUGAAACACGGACCAAGGAGUUGACCAACAACGCGAGUCUUUGGGUGUCAAACCCACGGGCGCAAUAAAAGUGAACGGAGGUGGGAACCCCGGGGCAUCCGGGGCGCACCAUCGACCGAUCCUGAUGUCUUCGGAUGGAUUUGAGUACGAGCGUUGGUGGUCUGACCCGAAAGAUGGUGAACUAUGCGUGAAUAGGGUGAAGCCAGAGGAAACUCUGGUGGAGGCUCGCAGCGGUUCUGACGUGCAAAUCGAUCGUCAAAUUUGCGUAUAGGGGCGAAAGACCAAUCGAACUAUCUAGUAGCUGGUUCCAGCCGAAGUUUCCCUCAGGAUAGCAGUAACGUUUUCAGUUUUAUGAGGUAAAGCGAAUGCCUCAGUAACGGCGAGUGAAGCGGCAACAGCUCAAAUUUGAAAUCUGGCCUCGCGGUCCGAGUUGUAAUUUGCAGAGGACGUCUCGGGCGCGACGCCGGUCGAAGUUCCUUGGAACAGGACGUCACAGAGGGUGAGAAUCCCGUACGUGACCGGCGAUCAACCCCACGCGAGACCCCUUCGACGAGUCGAGUUGUUUGGGAAUGCAGCUCUAAAUGGGUGGUAAAUUUCAUCUAAAGCUAAAUACCGGCCAGAGACCGAUAGCGCACAAGUAGAGUGAUCGAAAGAUGAAAAGCACUUUGGAAAGAGAGUGAAACAGUACGUGAAAUUGUUGAAAGGGAAGCGCUGGCAACCAGACUUGCUCGCGGGGGAUCCGCCGUCCUGCGGGGCGGCGUACCGAUCCGCGAGCAGGCCAGCAUCGGUUCCGGCGGCCGGAUAACAGGGGCGGGAACGUAGCUUCCCCCGGGGAGUGUUAUAGCCCGUCCCACCAUGCGGCCAGCCGGGACCGAGGACCGCGCUUGAUUAGAGGCCUUGGGGAUGCAACAUCCUUAACCUAUUCUCAAACUUUAAAUAUGUAAGAAGUCCUUGUUGCUUCGGKGAACGUGGACAUUUGAAUGCACCGUUACUAGUGGGCCAUUUUGGUAAGCAGAACUGGGCGAUGCGGGAUGAACCGAACGUGAGGUUAGGKGCGGAAUGUAC